CAGAUCUUGGUGGUAGUAGCAAAU
rnacentral:ncRNA from 7 species